rnacentral:lncRNA from 1 species
GUUUUGAUUUAUACAAUUGAUAUAAAUCAAAACAUCGUGUUUUUUCUGAUUAAUUUUUCGAAUUACUUUAUUAAGGUGUCGAGAACCUUUGGUGACCCCAUAGUUUAAGUGUCUUUAAAAAGUACAUAGUGAGCAGUGGUCGUUACAUACAAACGUUCACCCAAAUUGUCCCAGUCAAUGGAUGAAUUUAAUGUGUCAAUCAAUGGCCACAGCCACACUGUUUUGAAAUUCAUUCUAUAAAGUAAAAUAACAAAUAUA